rnacentral:rRNA from 1 species
AGAGCGUAUGGCGGAUGCCUAGGCACAGAGAGGCGAAGAAGGACGCAGCAAACAGCGAAAUGCGACGGUUAGCAGUAAGCAUGCAACGAUCCGUCGAUGUCCGAAUGGGGGAACCCACCUGGAGUAGAGACCAGGUAUCCUGAAGUGAAUAAAUAGCUUCAGAGAGGCGAGACUCAGGGAACUGAAACAUCUAAGUACCUGAAGGAAGAGAAAAUAAACGAAUGAUUCCCUAAGUAGCGGCGAGCGAAAGGGGAAGAGCCCAAACCGAUCUUAGGAUCGGGGUUGUAGGACUGUCGGCAAAGAGCAAGAAAUCAUUAUAGGCGAACGGAAUGGGAAGUCCGGCGAAACAGGGUGACAGCCCCGUAGCCGAAAUAGUGAAGAAGCACGAGACAGCACCUGAGUACGGCGGGACACGAGGAAUCCUGUCGGAAUCCACCAGGACCAUCUGGUAAGGCUAAAUACUCCUCUGUGACCGAUAGUGAACCAGUACCGUGAGGGAAAGGUGAAAAGAACCCCGGGAGGGGAGUGAAAUAGAACCUGAAACCGUGUGCCUACAACCGGUCAAAGCCCCAUAUGAGGGUGAUGACGUGCUUUUUGUAGAACGAGCCAACGAGUUACGGUAUGUAGCAAGGUUAAGUACUUAAGGUACGGAGCCGAAGGGAAACCGAGUCUUAAUAGGGCGACUAGUUGCAUGCCGUAGACCCGAAACCGGGUGACCUAUCCAUGGCCAGGUUGAAGCGAGGGUAAAACCUCGUGGAGGACCGAACCACGUUGCUGUUGAAAAAGCAUGGGAUGAGCUGUGGAUAGCGGAGAAAUUCCAAUCGAACUCGGAGAUAGCUGGUUCUCCCCGAAAUAGCUUUAGGGCUAGCGUCGAGGUAAAGUCGUGUGAAGGUAGAGCACUGAAUAUGUGAUGGCCCCAUCUCGGGGUACUGAACAUAAUCAAACUCCGAAUGUCACAAAGAUAUACUCGGCAGUCAGACAGUGGGUGAUAAGGUCCAUUGUCAAAAGGGAAACAGCCCAGACCAUCAGCUAAGGUCCCAAAAUAUAUACUAAGUGGAAAAGGAUGUGGAGAUGUCCAGACAACUAGGAGGUUGGCUCAGAAGCAGCCAUCCUUUAAAGAGUGCGUAACAGCUCACUAGUCGAAUGACUCUGCGCCGAUAAUUUACCGGGGCUAAGUAUAUUACCGAAGCUAUGGAUUUACGCGUAAGCGUGAGUGGUAGGGGAGCGUUCUAUGUGCGGAGAAGCGGUACCGUAAGGAGCCGUGGAGCGCAUAGAAGAGAGAAUGCCGGUGUGAGUAGCGAAACGUGGGUGAGAAUCCCACGCACCGAAAACCCAAGGUUUCCAGAGGAAGGUUCGUCCGCUCUGGGUAAGUCGGGACCUAAGGCGAGGCCGAGAGGCGUAGUCGAUGGACAACAGGUAGAGAUUCCUGUACUUACGGUAUGAAUGAUGGAGUGACGGAGAAGGCUAGCGGAUCCUGCUGAUGGAAAUGCAGGUGCAAGCGAGGUAGCCGACAGCCAGGCAAAUCCGGCUGUCGAAAGGCAAAGGCGUGAGGCGUAUGGAAAGCUGCGGCAAGUACAGAAGUCCGUGAAGCCAGCUUCCAAGAAAAGCUUCUAGUGAUAAUCAUACAGUAACCCGUACCGAAAAUGGACACACAUGGGUGAGGAGAGAAUCCUAAGGUGAGCGAGAGAACUAUAGCUAAGGAACUCUGCAAAAUGACUCCGUAACUUAGGGAUAAGGAGUGCUCAUAGAGAUAUGAGCCGCAGUGAAACGGCCCAAGCGACUGUUUACCAAAAACACAGCUCUAUGCUAAGUCGAAAGACGACGUAUAUGGGGUGACGCCUGCCCGGUGCUGGAAGGUUAAGAGGAUGUGUCAGCGCAAGCGAAGCAUUGAAUUGAAGCCCCAGUAAACGGCGGCCGUAACUAUAACGGUCCUAAGGUAGCGAAAUUCCUUGUCAGGUAAGUUCUGACCCGCACGAAAGGCGUAACGAUUUGGGCGCUGUCUCAGCUGUAGACUCGGUGAAGUCUUAGUACCUGUGAAGAUGCAGGUUACCCGCGACUAGACGGAAAGACCCCAUGGAGCUUUACUGUAGCUUGAUAUUGGACUUUGAUGCAAGAUGUACAGGAUAGGUAGGAGACUGAGAGACAUGCACGCCAGUGUGUGAGGAGUCAAUGUUGGGAUACUACUCUUCUUGUAUUGGAGUUCUAACCGGAUGCCAUGGAACUGGCAACGGGACAGUGUCAGGUGGGCAGUUUGACUGGGGCGGUCGCCUCCCAAAGAGUAACGGAGGCGCCCAAAGAUACCCUCAGCUUGGAUGGAAAUCAAGCGCAGAGUGCAAAGGCAUAAGGGUGUUUGACUGCGAGACCUACAAGUCGAGCAGGGACGAAAGUCGGGCUUAGUGAUCCGGCGGUGCUGAAUGGAAAGGCCGUCGCUCAACGGAUAAAAGCUACCCUGGGGAUAACAGGCUGAUCUCCCCCAAGAGUCCACAUCGACGGGGAGGUUUGGCACCUCGAUGUCGGCUCAUCGCAUCCUGGGGCUGAAGUCGGUUCCAAGGGUUGGGCUGUUCGCCCAUUAAAGCGGUACGCGAGCUGGGUUCAGAACGUCGUGAGACAGUUCGGUCCCUAUCUGUCGUGGGCGUAGGAAGUUUGAGAAGAUCUGUCCUCAGUACGAGAGGACCGGGAUGGACAUAUCAAUGGUGCACCAGUUGUCACGCCAGUGGCACAGCUGGGUAGCUAAAUAUGGAAGGGAUAAACGCUGAAGGCAUCUAAGUGUGAAACCCACUUCAAGAUGAGACUUCCCAUUACGCAAGUAAGUAAGACCCCUUAAAGACGAUAAGGUUGA